rnacentral:rRNA from 1 species
AUGCAUCAACAUCUACAAUACCAAAUAUAUAUAUACUAUGAAACUACAUUUCAUAAUGAAUCUAACCAGAAUUGUGCUGUGGUCAAUAUAAUCAAAGGUGAGGUGCUGAAAACUAAGCUGUGUGGCUUGCUGUCUGUUGUGUUUUGCAAAAAUAGACAUUGGCCAUGGCAAGUUAGAGAGUUGUCCAGCAAGACCUUUUUGGUCAGGUUUCCACCCUGGAAAGUGGAAGACCUAAUUGAAUUUCCAGCUUUUGAUCUUCCUAAAGAAGGGGUGAAUGUAAAUGUGUCUGAAUGGAAAGGGGCAUGUGAUCCAUUUGGGGAACUGGUUGAAGCCUGGGUCCUAAUUGAGGGCAUGCCACCCAAAUGGUGUACCUUCAAGGUGUUUUGCCAAAUUGCUUCAACGUUUGGUGUUCUUACUGAUGUGGACUGCAAUGACAUGUUCAGAACAUUUUUUGAGAAUGUGAGGGUUAAAAUUGCUUGUAGAGAUCCAGCCAAAAUCCCUUUUGAAAGGCUGAUAGAGAUGAAGAAAAAGUUGUUCUUUCUUGGAUUCACUGUGGAAGGAUAUGAGCAAACUGGUGGUCUGGAUUCUGUUGUUAGUGAUGAAGAAGAUGAUGAGGAGGAGAUUGAUGAAGAUAAUGAUAAUAUACAUGGGAGCAAGACUGAUGGUGGUCAAGAUGACCUCCCGUCCAAUGAUGAAAAUGCUAUUGAUGACUUGGAUAGAGCUAACUUGAGCUCAAAUGGAAAUGCUAAUGCUGGUAGACACAAAAAAGCUUCUGAUGCUGUUGAUCACCAUGCUAGUUGGUCAGACAUCGAACAUGAGAACUUCAUCAUGGAAUGUGCUGUGGUGGAGGCUAAAUCUAAAGGAAAAUUAAAACAGGAUGAUUCAACUAGAGGUGAAGUUGAGAUUGGAGCUUGUGCUUCAUCUGUAGUGAAAGGGAAAGGGGAGGCGAUGCUGACUUGGCCAGUUGAGUCCUAG